rnacentral:rRNA from 1 species
CCUACGGGAGGCAGCAGUGGGGAAUAUUGCACAAUGGGGGAAACCCUGAUGCAGCGACGCCGCGUGAGUGAAGAAGUAUUUCGGUACGUAAAGCUCUAUCAGCAGGGAAGAAAAAAGGUCCUUUGGACUUUGGACGUAACUUGACAAAAAGCCCCCGGUUAACUACUGACCAGAGGCGGCGUUAAUACGUAGGGGGCAAGCGUUACCCGGAUUUACGGGGUGUAAAGGGAGCGUAGACGGCAGCGCAAGUCUGGAGUGAAAUGCCGGGGCCCAACCCCGGAACUGCUUGGGAAACUGUGCAGCUGGAGUGCAGGAGAGGUAAGCGGAAUUCCUAGUGUAGCGGUGAAAUGCGUAGAUAUUAGGAGGAACACCAGUGGCGAAGGCGGCUUACUGGACUGUAACUGACGUUGAGGCUCGAAAGCGUGGGGAGCAAACAGGAUUAGAUACCCUGGUAGUC